ACCUGGCUAGCUCAGUUGGCAGAGCACGUGGCUCUUGAUCUUGGGGUUGUAGAUUUGAGUCCCACGUUAGGUG
rnacentral:tRNA from 1 species